AUCAUGGCUCAGGAUGAACGCUAGCGGCAGGCUUAACACACGCAAGUCGAGGGGCAGCAUAAUGGAUAGCAAUAUCUAUGGUGGCGACCGGCGCACGGGUGCGUAACGCGUAUGCAACCUACCUUUAACAGGGGGAUAACACUGAGAAAUUGGUACUAAUACCCCAUAACAUCAUGAGAGGCAUCUUUUAUGGUUGAAAAUUCCGAUGGUUAGAGAUGGGCAUGCGUUG
rnacentral:rRNA from 1 species